rnacentral:rRNA from 1 species
UCAUUAUAAAUUGAUUUAAAAUUUAUUUAUUUAUUAUUUUAUUUAUUUAAAUUUAAUAUUAAAAAUAAUUAUAAAUUUAUAAUUUUUAGUAAAGUUUAUUGAAAAAAUAUUUUUUAUUAUAGUGUAUUAGUAUUGUGUAAUAAUAUUGAAAUAUAUUGAAGAAUAUUUGUAUUAAAAGAAAAUUUUAAUUAUUGUACCUUGUGUAUCAGGGUUUAUUAAAUAAAUAAUAUUUAUUUGGAUAUUUUUCUCGAUUUAUUAAGAGUUAAAAAUUUAUAAAAGUUGAUGUAAUAAUAUCAUUUUUAAUAUAUUUUUGGAAAUGAAAUGUUUUUCGUUUAAUAUGGUAUUCUAGUUUUUUAAGAAAUAAAUUUAAUUUAGAAUUAAUUGUAAUUUAAUUUAUUUAUAUAAAUUUAAAUAAAUAAUUAAUUUAAUAUUUUAUGGGAUAAGCUGUAAAUUAAAUUGUUAUAAAUUUUGAAUAUUUAAAUUAAUUAUAUGCUUAGAAUUAGCAAUUAUUAAAAAGUUUGUUAUAAUUUAUUUUUUUUUAUUAAAUAUUUAGUAUAUUUUAAUUAUUUAUUAAAAUAUUUUUUAUAAUUUGGUUUGUAAAAUAAUAAUGAUAAAAUUAGUAUAUUUAUAUGUUUUAAUUUACAUAAUUGAAAAGUNUUAAAUAAAGAAUUCGGCAAAAUUUGUAUUCGCCUGUUUAACAAAAACAUGUCUUUUUGUAUUUUAUUUAAAGUUUAACCUGCCCAUUGAAAAAUUUUAAAAGGCCGCAGUAUAUUAACUGUGCAAAGGUAGCAUAAUCAUUAGUCUUCUAAUUGAAGGCUGGAAUGAAUGGUUGGACGAGAUAUAAGCUGUCUCAUUUAAAAUUUAUAUAGAAUUUUAUUUUUUAGUUAAAAAGCUAAAAUAUGAUCAAAAGACGAGAAGACCCUAUAAAUCUUAAUUAUUUAAUAAUUUUUAAUUUAUUUUGGUUUUUUUUGUUAUAAAUUUAUUAAAUAAUUUUAUUGGGGUGAUAUUAAAAUUUAAAUAACUUUUAAUAAUUUUUGUCAUUUAUUUAUGAUUAAGUGAUCCAUUAUUAGUGAUUAAAAAAUUAAGUUACUUUAGGGAUAACAGCGUAAUUUUUUUGGAGAGUUCUUAUCGAUAAAAAAGUUUGCGACCUCGAUGUUGGAUUAAGAUUCAUAUUUAAAUGCAGAAGUUUAAAUAUUAAGUCUGUUCGACUUUU